rnacentral:rRNA from 1 species
CCAGACUCCUACGGGAGGCAGCAGUAAGGGAUAUUGGUCAAUGGGGGAAACCCUGAACCAGCAACGCCGCGUGAGGGAAGACGGUUUUCGGAUUGUAAACCUCUGUCCUCUGUGAAGAUGAUGACGGUAGCAGAGGAGGAAGCUCCGGCUAACUACGUGCCAGCAGCCGCGGUAAUACGUAGGGAGCGAGCGUUGUCCGGAUUUACUGGGUGUAAAGGGAGCGUAGACGGCAGCGCAAGUUUGAAGUGAAAUGCCGGGGCUUAACCCCGGAACUGCUUUGGAAACUGAGCAGCUAGAGUGCAGGAGAGGUAAGUGGAAUUCCUAGUGUAGCGGUGAAAUGCGUAGAUAUUAGGAGGAACACCAGUGGCGAAGGCGACUUUCUGGACUGUACCUGACGCUGAGGCGCGAAAGCGUGGGUAGCGAACGGGAUUAGAUACCCGCGUA